rnacentral:rRNA from 1 species
UACGUAGGGACCAAGCGUUGUUCGGAUUUACUGGGCGUAAAGGGCGCGUAGGCGGCGUGUCAAGUCACUUGUGAAAUCUCCGGGCUUAACUCGGAACGGUCAAGUGAUACUGUCGUGCUAGAGUACAGAAGGGGCAACUGGAAUUCUCGGUGUAGCGGUGAAAUGCGUAGAUAUCGAGAGGAACACCUGCGGCGAAGGCGGGUUGCUGGGCUGAUACUGACGCUGAGGCGCGAAAGCCAGGGGAGCGAACGGG